rnacentral:rRNA from 1 species
GUUAGGAAUAUUGGACAAUGGGCGAAAGCCUGAUCCAGCCAUGCCGCGUGAACGAUGAAGGCCUUCGGGUUGUAAAGUUCUUUAGCCGAUGAUUAUAAUGACUGUAGUCGGAAAAUAAGCCCCGGCUAACUUCGUGCCAGCAGCCGCGGUAAUACGAAGGGGGCGAGCGUUAUUCGGAAUCACUGGGCGUAAAGCGUGCGUAGGCGGUUUUGUAAGUUAGGAGUGAAAGCCCAGGGCUCAACCUUUGAAUUGCUCUUAAAACUGCAAGGCUCGAAUCUCGGAGAGGAUAGCGGAAUUUCCAGUGUAGCAGUGAAAUGCGUAGAUAUUGGAAGGAACACCAGUGGCGUAAGCGGCUAUCUGGACGAGUAUUGACGCUGAGGCACGAAAGCGUGGGGAUCAAACAGGAUUAGAAACCCGUGUAGUCC